rnacentral:lncRNA from 1 species
AGAACAAAGAACUUUGGAGAUAGAGGGAGGAGUGAGCUGAUCCAGGAGUUGAAAAACUGAUUUCUGUCUGAAAACACACACCAGAGAGGUUGGCUCCAGUUAAUAAGACUCAGGAACUGACUCAAACUGUUACUAGAGGGAAACUUGAGAUUGAGGGGGAGAGAAGUGACAUUUCUCUCCCCAGGAAGAAAAGAGGCUUAUCACCACAAGCCUCUUCAAGGAGAUCCUUCAGAGAACCCAGCAGUCAUCACAGUUCACUGAUAAAGCAAAACUCAAGGAACUGGCAAUGGCUCAGGAUAUGAUGGAUGACCCUGAUGUCUUUGAUGUCUUCCCAAUCUGCAUUUGUAAAAGCUUAUAUAAAAGAAUUGUAGAAGAUUAUGAAUAGCAUCAUCAAAGAGCAAGAAGUUAUAGAAGGAAAAGGAAGUUUAAAGAUCUUGGACGGAGGCCCAAUUAAGCAAAAUGAAAUCAAGGGCAUUAAAGGAUGAAAAGUAGAGAAACACACUCACAUACCACCACCACUCCCCACACACAGAUU